CCUUCAAGUAGUAUCACCAACUUCCAAACCAGCCCUCAUCCAUCAGCUGGAGCAAGGAAGAGAGCUGUGUUUCACCAGCCACAGGGAGCACUAAGCAGGAGGAGCAGGAGAGCUGGCUCAAAAGGACUAGAAGCAGCUGAAGAUCUUGCUCAAGUGCCUUCCUGCUGCAGAAGAAACUUGAAGAAAAUGGGAGUAAGAGAAAUAAGGGUUGGGGAGAGCAGCUGCAGCCUUGAUCACAGCCUGGGCAUGGGGAAGAAGGUUAUAGAGAAUUGUGUUGGUUGGAAACCAAUGGUACAUAAAUGAAAAUAUUUAUGAGGACCUGACUGUGUAUGUAGCAUAGCCAACUGUUGAAAUAGAUAAAUGUGCCAAGGAGAUGAUAGCCACCUAGACUUAUUAAAAAUUAAAUUAAUUUUAAAGCAAUAC
rnacentral:lncRNA from 1 species